rnacentral:rRNA from 1 species
AUAAGCGGAGGAAAAGAAACUAACAAGGAUUCCCCUAGUAACUGCGAGUGAAGCGGGAAAAGCUCAAAUUUAAAAUCUGGCAGUCUUUGGCUGUCCGAGUUGUAAACUAGAGAAGUGUUACCCGCGUCGGACCGUGUACAAGUCUCCUGGAAUGGAGCAUCAUAGAGGGUGAGAAUCCCGUCUUUGACAUGGACUACCGAGGCUUUUGUGGUGCGCUCUCAACGAGUCGAGUUGUUUGGGAAUGCAGCUCAAAAUGGGUGGUAAAUUCCAUCUAAAGCUAAAUAUUGGCGAGAGACCGAUAGCGAACAAGUACCGUGAGGGAAAGAUGAAAAGAACUUUGGAAAGAGAGUUAAACAGUACGUGAAAUUGCUGAAAGGGAAACGCUUGAAGUCAGUCGCGUUGGCCGGAAAUCAACCCUGCUUCUGUUGGGUGUACUUUCUGGUUGACGGGCCAGCAUCAGUUUUGACCGGUGGAAAAAGUCCAAGGGAAUGUGGCAUCUCCGGAUGUGUUAUAGCCCUUGGUCGUAUACAUCGGUUGGGACUGAGGAAUUCAGCACGCCGCAAGGCCGGGUUUCGACCACGUUCGUGCUUAGGAUGCUGGCAUAAUGGCUUUAAUCGACCCGUCUUGAAA